rnacentral:lncRNA from 1 species
CCCCUGCCUUCUCCACUCGGCCCAAGGGAGCAAGACUGGGAAGCCCAGCCCUUCUGUCAACCAGGGUCAAGUAGACUCAAACCAGAAGCCCAGCUCUGCCUGGCUUCCCUUCCCCAGGUGCCACAUCUCCAUCUGCAAAAGGACAUCGCACUGCUGGCCUCGCGAGGCUUCCUGAGGAUUUCAUGGGAGGACGCAAAUACGGAACUGUCGACCAUCCACAUUGAUUCACGUCCCCCGCCCCCACCCGCCUCCCUGAUACUAAAUUCACCUGAGUUGUUCUUAUGACAAUUUCUCGAACUGCCACCUGCGUAGACCAAAGCUCUCCUCUCAUCCAUUCCUCCCCUUCUUCUCCCACAACCUCAUGACCAAGUCCGCUCCUGCCUUCUGUGUACUUUGGAGUCUUAUUUAGCUUCUAACACUUCUGGACCAGAAUCACAGCUGGUACAGUGUCUACUACGCCUAGAUCACAAAGAGGCAGAAGUCAUCAGAAUCAGCUCCCCACAGAAUAACUUCCAAAGGCAGCACUCACCAAAUGCCACUUGUGUAGGUCAUCUCCUACAAAGUUCUGCAUGCAAAUUAUAAUUUGUUUUAAAGGCAGUGUUUCCGCUACUGAAUCAUACACUAUCUCAGGCAGUCCCAGGAAAGACCUGGGCAAACGCAGACAUGUAAUAUCAUACAAGGACGGAGCUGGGGGAAGGAGAAGCAUUGCUGGGCUUGGGGAGGCCGCUUUGCCCAGUCCGGGCUACAGUACCCGUGAAGUCACUGCUGUCCUAAGAGCACUCCCAUUAUAACAGACUGGCUUCCGGGGUGCAGGCAGAAGGGGAAAGGCCAGGAUGGGAAGAGUAGAGACCAUUAGGAGUUGGGAAUGAAGAUGGGAGGAGGCAAACCAAAUACAGUCCCAGAGCUUGGUUUUACUAAACAGCUGCCCUGAGCCCGCCCCUCACCCCAACUGCCCAGGCAGCCCGUACUAGAUGGUGAUGGUUCAGGCUGGGGAGGACAGCUGUGGCUCAGGAAUUAGGGGCAAGGACAGGCCAAGACACCUUGAUUUUUCACUUUGGUACCUGUGAUUCGAACUAUUUCUUUCCCUUUUAGGAACAUUGAAUGAUGCCAUCAGUGAAACUGCAAAUGACAGGCAGGCUUCCUGGGAUAAUCUUUUAAACCUCUAUACAUCUUGCUUCUUAUGAGAACAUCUGCAAGCCAAAGCAGCCAGAAGCUUGGGAAAUAGUCCAGCAGAGAGUUGCCACCUCACAUAGUUUGUUACAGGAGGAUUGAAUCUACCCUGGGACAGAAGAGACUCCUGCAGCAGGAUAGUUCCCAAACCAGAGGCCAGUCCCUCCAGCACCACCAACAAGGAACACAGCUCCUCCUCUCUUAGACUCCAGCACUCUGUCUCGCUUCGGCUCACCAAUAUGUUUUUCCAGUCAAUCAGCAAACAUUAUUGAGUGGCCAUCAUAGGCACCCCAGGUUUCCCCUGGAAACACCAAAGUGAAAAGACCUCUCUACCCAGGAUGCAAGCACUGAUCCUUGAUGUAGCGUUUCAGUAACACAUGACUCACGGUAGGCAAACUACAGGGAUACAAAUGAAACUGGGAAAUCCAUGCAUGAGAUUCUUCUUGCUUGGCCUCUUCUCCCAGAUCAGUGAGCGUUCCCCUUGGAGCUCUCUGGAGGACAGAGCAGAGCUCAUCUUGUGCCUGAGUUAUUGGGGCUGCUGCCUCCACUCAAGAGGCUCCUAUUUCUCCAUCACCCAAUCCAAGAAUCCAUCAAGUCUGACCCUAGAAGGCGCAGCAGAGUGACUUCCAAGACCUCCUGCCCUGCUGAGCCUCACUCCAGUCCUUGAUGGCUGGAGCACCCGCUGACCUCUGUGUUUGUGCUGCCUGCUUCCCAUACCCUCAGCCACCCAGGUCACUCACAGGAGUGGCCAGCUCUGUCUCGGAGCCAAGUGUCUUCUUUCUACCCCAUCAUUGUUUGGCCUCCCAUCAAUCAAUUUCUGGCUCAUUAUAAAAUUAGCAUACCCACAGUUGCCACAACCUACAGAUGACUGUUUUUGUCUGAAGCUUUUUAAAAAGCAGAUUCUUCAGAAGCUAUUCUAGAUAAACAUAUGCCACCCUUAUAUAUAACCAGGAUUUUGGAAGAGGGCUAUGCAUUUUACCUUCUGAUGAGAAAUGUCAUUCUUCCACCAAUCACCAGUGCCCGUCAGCCUCCCCAUCCCAAACCAAGUCUAUUCUGGUCCCUGAAAUUCUAUUCACUCCUUGGAGUUAAAACUUACAGGAUCUUUGGGAAGCUGAAUAUAUACCAGCUAUAAUUCUUGCUGCUGUGGGCUUUAGCGAUCAGGUCAGUUGUCCAUGACUGUUGAUGAGAAGGACCCUGCUAGAAGGAGGAAGAGAGGGUCCAGAGGGACCCCAGGACCAGGCAGUGCCAGGGAGCCGAAGAGGGAGGGGUACGGAAGGAGCAGUCUUAGGACCCGGCCUCACACCUGCAUAGCAGCACCUUGGCCCCGUGGGAAAGCAGAGAAAAUGUGAACAUUCUCCACUGUGCCUAAUUCAUUUGGAAGGCACCUCCCUUGAAAAUCACAGCUCGUGAACUUCUGUCAUAUCUGCAAUGCCCUUUCCCUCAAUUUUACACAAGUUAUCGCAUGUCAUUAUGUCAUUGCGUCACACACCUUAAAGGGAUGGGGUAAAUUUUUUUUUAAAUUCUUAGAAAAAUGGCCAUAUUUUAGCAUCUUGAUGAUGGUGUGGAGGAAGCCCACCUUGCUUUCCUUUUCAGGUGUUUAUCUGCAGAAACCAUCCCCGUUCUCAGUCAAGAGCUUCAUAAUGCAUUUCCAGAAGCAGGAGGCCCCAUGGGAGCCCAGGCAAAACUUUCAAUCCCGAUUGAGACGUCUGGGCAGGUCUGGCUGAACCGUGGGGUGGACUCUCUAGAACUCCAUUUGCACCAGAAACAGAAAGCCUCCUGGGAGACUCCUCCUAAGGUUCUGGAAGGCCAGGAACACAAGGUUCUUCAAGUCACAGUGCAGUGGGUUCACAAGGGAAUGAGCAUCCCCAGUACAGAGUGGCCUCGGCAUAUCUUCACCCUCCGCAGUUUCCUGAGGGUCCCCGGGAUCACAGGAGGGGGUGGUGCACCCACGAGGAAGGCUUGGGGCUGAAAGUGACAGAACAACCUAACCACAGUGGCUUAAACAAAUAAGGGACUUAUUUUUUAGCUUAGUGGCCAAAGCUGAGGUCUCUGAGACCAUCUUGGCCCCUCCUUCAAGGUCUCCAGUAGUGGGAACUGCGCCACCUAUCACAUCUGCCUCUCUUUCAUAAGAAGAGAGGAAACAAACCCUGAAGCAGAAGUUUUCAGGAACUCUAAGCAAACUGUGCUUUCUUAUAUCUCUUUAGCCAGCUGUACCCACAUGGCCACCCCCAGCUGGGAGGCAGCCAAGGCAAAGGGGAUUGGAAAUGGAGGUCGGAACAGUCAGCCUGCCCCAAGGGGAACACAGCAAGAAGGGAUGAGCUUGGAGUCAGCAGCACUGCUUUCGUGCCCAGUCCCAAACUGAGAAAGCAGUGCCCACCAUCUGCAAAAAGUACAGCGUAGCUUGGACACAUGGUGGACGGCUUCACAUUGGUGCCGCCUCAUGGCUGUGACCCUCCCUGUGCAGCAGUGGGAGGUGGUCCUGGGGCUUUGGGACAGCCCCACAGAGAUGUAGGUGAAGCCCUGAAAGCACCUUUGUGGUGUACAUGGGUCUCCCGAAGGAGCUUGAGUAGGAAGGGGGGGGCAAAGAGGAUGCCACGUAGGAAGAGAAGAGGAACUGCCACCGUCCAUAUGGGAGCCCCUGGGUCCUUCCAGGAAUAACUGAGUGAGAUUUCUCCUGGGCUUGAGUUCCCACGGUAGCAAGAGAUCAUGUUGGUAUCCUUGGCUUCUCAGCUUGGGGAAACAGUGACCUUCAGCAACUGGAAUCCACUAAUCAUGUGACCGAACAAAUGAAAGACCAAAGGACCAUUGGUUAGGGCACUAACUUGAGAAUUUAUUUCUGAAAAACAAAGUUUUCUUUUCAGAUGAAAUGGGAUAUGAAACAUUUAUAGAGGGUCUAAUGCAUGCCAGAUACUUUACACAGAUUGUUUUAUUGAAUCCUUAUAACCACCCUAUAAAUAGCCAUUAUUUUCAUUUACUGAUAAGAAAACUGAGACUCAAAGAUUUUCAAAAACUUAUCUAAGAUCAUGCACCUAAAAUGUGGAAGAGCCACAUAAACCCCAUAGAUUUUCUGAAUCCAAAGUCCACAAUCCAUCCUGAACAGUGCUUGGAUGCCAAUUCCUCAAGUUUUAUCUGAAGAAUUAUUUGUGUUCUAUGUAAUACCCCACCUAUAUCUAAGAAGAUCUGAAAUAGCUACUCCUAUAAACAUCUUGCCACCAGCUACCUAGUCAUGCCCCUCAAUGUUGAAGAUAAUGAAAAUGCUGGGACUUUUCCCAAAUGCAUAGGAAGGUGGGAAAUCCAGGUCAGACCCAGACUCCCAAGUUCUUUUAACAGUGCUGUCUACACCAAGGCUAGCAUCCUGGCUGUGAAAUCCACAGUCCCCCAUUAAACGGCUCAGGGAUACCCAGAAUGAGGGUCAGCCAACCGAGAUACAAUUUAAGGAGAGCCAAAAAUCUCCAUCAUCAAGAUAAAUAAUAUUUUCAUGCCACAUUUGUUUUCUUAACUAUUAUGGAUACAUAAUAGUUGUACAUAUUUACAGAGUACGUGUGAUAUUUUACUAUUAAUAGAAGCAUACGAUGUGUGAUGAUCUAAUCAGGGCAAUUGUGGUAUCCAUCCCUCAAGCACUUAUCAUUUCUUUGUGUUAGGAACAUUCCAAUUUUUGAAAUUGGAAUUUUAGUUUCUUUUUAGUUUUUAUUGAAAUAUUCUUUUUUUGAAAUAUACAAUAUCUGAGUUAUUUUUGAGUUUUUGAAAUAUACCAUAAAUUAUCAGUUACUAUAGUCUCCCUAUUGUGCUAGUAAACACUAGAUCUUACUCUUUCUAUCUAGUUGUAUUUUUGAACUCAUGGUGGGGAGGGGGAACCAAAAGAGGGGAUGGUUAAUGCAAUACUUUUAAAAAUAAAAAUUAAUGCAAAAAAUCCAUGAUGAACAAAAUAUCAACAUUUUAAAUAAAGACAAGGUGCUUGUAUGCUUGUCUGUUUCCAAUCAGCUGUGGUUUCUGGGCCCCAUGGCCUCCAUGUCCCCAUGAGACUGCUUCAUGA